CACAAAGCAAACAUGUAUUCCUUACCCAUAUAGCCCCCUAACCUUCCAUUGCCCCUAAAUAUAGUAAACUCUUACUUUUAUUCCAGUCUGCUAGUGCUGGCUCUGCCCUGAUCCACCUUCUUGGCUGUUAUCAUCAGAAGUAAUGACCUGAGUCACUCACAAUGCUUUCCCAUAGAAAAACUUUGGAUUGGCUAAGGUGUCAAGGAGGCUGCAGCACAGGCCAGACACAGCCCUGGCCAAUCAACAUCUCCUCAUAGAGAUGCAUUGAAUCAAUGUAUCUCUAUUAGGAAAGUUCAGUGUCUUCUUGCCGAGGGUGGAGACCCCCAGGAAGUAUU